AUUGAACGCUGGCGGCAUGCCUUACACAUGCAAGUCGAACGGUAACGGGCCUUCGGGUGCCGACGAGUGGCGAACGGGUGAGUAAUACAUCGGAACGUGCCCGAUCGUGGGGGAUAACGAGGCGAAAGCUUUGCUAAUACCGCAUACGAUCUACGGAUGAAGGCAGGGGACCGCAAGGCCUUGCGCGGACGGAGCGGCCGAUGGCAGAUUAGGUAGUUGGUGGGAUAAAAGCUUACCAAGCCGACGAUCUGUAGCUGGUCUGAGAGGAUGAUCAGCCACACUGGCACUGAGACACGGCCCAGACUCCUACGGGAGGCAGCAGUGGGGAAUUUUGGACAAUGGGCGCAAGCCUGAUCCAGCCAUGCCGCGUGCAGGAUGAAGGCCUUCGGGUUGUAAACUGCUUUUGUACGGAACGAAAAGCCUUCUUUUAAUACAGGAGGGUCAUGACGGUACCGUAAGAAUAAGCACCGGCUAACUACGUG
rnacentral:rRNA from 1 species